ensembl:lncRNA
CUGUUGUGAUAACUUUAUGAGACAAAAGCUCAUUCAGGGGCAUUUUCCCCCUAUAUCUAGAAUUUUAAGGGCUGUCCUUGCCAUCUUUGCGCUCUUGCAAACUGGACGCUCUGACUUGCCGUAGAGUCCUUGUAGCCAUGAGAGGUGUGUCCAUGUAGAUUAGCAAAUAAAUCUGCAUCUUAAGUGGCGUGUGGCAUUAUUUUAACUAGAGUUGUGACGUUCGCGAACAAACCGAUUCUUUUGAACGGCUCAUAAACAUGAACGAUGGGAGCCGAGUCGCGGCUGGAGGGGAGCCGUUCUUUCUGUCGUUCUUUUUUCCUAUGCGUGUUUCACAAAGAUGCACUCAAAUGAGCUCCUCCGCGAGACAGAACAGUUAUAGGGGGAGGGGCGCACCCAGCGCAGGCCAACCCUUUAUAGACAUUCAUUGCAGCCCACUUUGUUAUUGUUCAUUGACUUGAAGGGGCUGAUGUCCUAUUUGCAAAGUUUACAGUAGUAAUAGUAUGUAGUAUAUAGACAUUUCCAUUUUAUUUAUUCUAAUUUUAUCUACUUUAAAUAUUUUUUGUUUUCUAUCAAAAUGUUCUUGUGUGAUAACAAUGUUCUUGUGUGGAAGUGUUUGUAGUAAAAGCUGUUUUGCACAGAAAUUCAUUGCAGCCGGCUUUGUUUUUGAUGUUUAUUUGUGAGUAGGUAUUGUAUGAAUAACAUAAGUCAACGUAGCUUUACACACACACACACACACACUUUGUACUAAAGGUAAAUCCAAAAUAGUGAUGUCACUGUCUAAGCAGAGGGAUUUGUGCAACCCUAUGGAAUAUAGUCCAAACAUGACAAAUGAGGUAAUAAUCAAUAUUUCAGAAUAAUUCAAACUCAGAUAUUGGUGUGUGAUAUCUGAGUUUUAAUUCUUUGACUACAAAUCUCACCUCAUCAUUCCUCCCAGUGAUUAUUUCCAGGAUAAACUGAGAUGCCCCCAAGCUGGCUUCUUAAAACUGACUAAAUAUUUAAAAAUUUUGAACGGCUCUUUGAAAGGAAUGGAUCGAGAAGAUCCGGAUCCCCUCAAAGAGCCAUAAAUCCCAUCACUAAUUUUAAUGCGUGGUGGCGUCUGGUGUUAACUUAUCGCCUAACGGCGCUUAUUUAACACCUGACGGCGUUAUGAAAACGGCGUUUUAAUAUUAAUACGGCGGUGAAAAGCAUGCGAAUUCGGAACCAUUUGGCUUUCCAUAUUAGCCAACUAUGGUCGCAAGUUCCGUCGUUACCAACAUAGUUCAACGAUUCGGUGUUUCCCGAAACCAUAGUUUAAACGAACAUUCGCAAAACUGCAUCACAAACUUGUGUCGUUGGAACGACAGCUCUUCACCUGUGGUUAGAGGCAUAGUUCGUUGUUAGUUUGCUGUGUCGACGUCGUUGAUUGCGCUGCACCUGGGGUGUGUUCUAUUCAGAGUUUUCGACCCUAUGCCCUAUUCCUUUCGAAGAUUUCACCAUCCACUUUGAGUGAUUUGGAAGAAAGUUGUGGUGCGUAGAUCUUACAUAAUUCACCUUUAAAUAUAUACAGUACAGGUCAAAAGUUUGGAAACAUUACUAUUUUUAAUGUUUUUGAAAGAAGUUUCUUCUGCUCAUCAAGCCUGCAUUUAUUUGAUAAAUAAUACAGAAAUACAGAAAAAAAGUAAUAUUGUGAUAUAUUAUUACAAUUUAAAAUAAUUGUUUUUAAAUGUAUUAUACUUUAAAUUAUCAUUUAUUUCUGUGAUGCAAAGCUGAAUUUUUAGGAUCAUUAUCACAUGAUCCUUUAGAAAUCAUUCUAAUAUGAUGAUUCAUUAUCAAAGUCGGAAACAGUUCUGCUGCUUAAUAUUUUUUCAGAACAUGUGAUACUUUUUUUGGAUACUUUGAUGAAUAAAAAAAAAAGAAGCUUUGUUUUUAAAAUAUAA